CGUGUUUAUGGAUUGGUGAAAGGAUGACACUCAAAUCAGAAAAAAAGAUCUUUAAUGAGAAUUUAGAGGUAACAAAAAGUACUGCCCAGCUGUAACAUGAAAUUAAUCUCAAUACGAGGGAAACAUGGGGAAAGACACCUAAAAACGUCUGAGGAACGACAGGAGUAACAAGGCACAAGUGAGCUCAAUCAAGAUAAUUACACGGAUGGGAAAAGGAACAAGGGAGUGAAGUGAAAACACCAAAUACCCAUGAUCGCCAGGACAAAGGAAGAGCUAAAAAUAUAACACAAACCAAAGAUCAUACAAGUAGCAAAAUUACAAAGAUCUUUACUCGCAGUACCACAUGGCAGAUAAUAAUUCAAAGCAGUUACUCUAAUCAUUACCUGACCUGACCUUCUUACCACCCAUAAGGCAAAAGUUUCCUUUUUCCAUCACAUGUCCUUGAGCCAACCAAGUACUGAGAUCUGUAAUAGAGGCAGAGAGCGGUGACAGACAGGGUCUUAUUCUGCCUUUUUGUUUUUUUUUGUUUUUUUGACAGACAAACAGGCAGAACGAUGGGCAGGCAGACAGCUGCUGACCCAGUUGCAGAUCAGACCAGGUGUGUCAGCGAAGCCUGAGGGGGCGAAGCUGAUUUUUAUUAGACAUGACAGGUUAAAGCCCCACUUACCCUGUCACGCAGUAGAUCUGUGGAUGGAAAGAUUGCCGAUGGGCAGGAUAGAUUUUGUUACCCUCUGGUGCUGUGUGUCUGUCACUCCAUCUCUUUUAAUGCCAGUCUCAGAGGUAGCGCACGUCUACUAGCUGAUCACACCCAAAUGGCAAGUAAUGCAACAGCUGUAUCAUCUCGUCUAUCCUCUGCCAUUACUCCCCUCUAAUUGUGACUGAGAGCAUGUUUACUGCUUCUGGUGCAUCACCUGUCUGCUGGCUCGCUGUCUUUGGCAUCAGUUCAGUUAAGUGAGUUCAUUAUUGGCACAAUACCGAGUUCCAUGUGUUGCCAAAAAAAGAUAAAGUCAUUCAAAUGACACUCCUCAACUGAAUAAAAACCAACAACAGCAAGAGAACCAGAGAAAUAGACAGAAAAAU
ensembl:lncRNA